AGUGAACGCUGGCGGUAGGCCUAACACAUGCAAGUCGAACGACAGCACAGGAGAGCUUGCUCUCUGGGUGGCGAGUGGCGGACGGGUGAGGAAUACAUCGGAAUCUACUCUGUCGUGGGGGAUAACGUAGGGAGACUUACGCUAAUACCGCAUACGACCUACGGGUGAAAGCAGGGGACCUUCGGGCCUUGCGCGAUUGAAUGAGCCGAUGUCGGAUUAGCUAGUUGGCGGGGUAAGGGCCCACCAAGGCGACGAUCCGUAGCUGGUCUGAGAGGAUGGUCAGCCACACUGGAACUGAGACACGGUCCAGACUCCUACGGGAGGCAGCAGUGGGGAAUAUUGGACAAUGGGCGCAAGCCUGAUCCAGCCAUACCGCGUGGGUGAAGAAGGCCUUCGGGUUGUAAAGCCCUUUUGUUGGGAAAGAAAUCCAGCUGGCUAAUACCCGGUUGGGAUGACGGUACCCAAAGAAUAAGCACCGGCUAACUUCGUGCCAGCAGCCGCCGCAG
rnacentral:rRNA from 1 species